rnacentral:rRNA from 1 species
CCUACGGGAGGCAGCAGUGGGGAAUUUUGGACAAUGGGCGAAAGCCUGAUCCAGCCAUGCCGCGUGAGUGAAGAAGGCCUUCGGGUUGUAAAGCUCUUUCAGCCGGAAAGAAAUCGCGCAGGCUAAUACUCUGCGUGGAUGACGGUACCGGAAGAAGAAGCACCGGCUAACUACGUGCCAGCAGCCGCGGUAAUACGUAGGGUGCGAGCGUUAAUCGGAAUUACUGGGCGUAAAGCGUGCGCAGGCGGUUAUAUAAGACAGAUGUGAAAUCCCCGGGCUCAACCUGGGAACUGCGUUUGUGACUGUAUGACUAGAGUACGGCAGAGGGAGGUGGAAUUCCGCGUGUAGCAGUGAAAUGCGUAGAUAUGCGGAGGAACACCGAUGGCGAAGGCAGCCUCCUGGGCCAGUACUGACGCUCAUGCACGAAAGCGUGGGGAGCAAACAGGAUUAGAUACCCUGGUAGUCCACGCCCUAAACGAUGUCAACUAGUUGUUCGGUGAGGAGACUCAUUGAGUAACGCAGCUAACGCGUGAAGUUGACCGCCUGGGGAGUACGGCCGCAAGGUUAAAACUCAAAGGAAUUGACGG